CGAAAGCCUGACGGAGCAAUACCGAGUGAGGGAGGAAGGCUCUUGGGUUGUAAACCUCUUUUCUCAAGGAAUAAGAAAGUGAAGGUACUUGAGGAAUAAGCAUCGGCUAACUCCGUGCCAGCAGCCGCGGUAAUACGGAGGAUGCAAGCGUUAUCCGGAAUGAUUGGGCGUAAAGCGUCCGCAGGUGGCCCUGUAAGUCUGCUGUCAAAGAGUUUGGCUCAACCAAAUAAAGGCAGUGGAAACUACAGAGCUAGAGUGCGUUCGGGGCAGAAGGAAUUCCUGGUGUAGCGGUGAAAUGCGUAGAGAUCAGGAAGAACACCGGUGGCGAAAGCGUUCUGCUAGACCUGUACUGACACUGAGGGACGAAAGCUAGGGGAGCG
rnacentral:rRNA from 1 species